rnacentral:rRNA from 1 species
UACGUAGGGUGCGAGCGUUAAUCGGAAUUACUGGGCGUAAAGCGUGCGCAGGCAGCGCGUUAAGACAGGUGUGAAAGCCCCGAGCUUAACUUGGGAAUUGCGCUUGUGACUGGCGGGCUGGAGUGUGGCAGAGGGAGGUGGAAUUCCACGUGUAGCAGUGAAAUGCGUAGAGAUGUGGAGGAACACCGAUGGCGAAGGCAGCCUCCUGGGCCAGCACUGACGCUCAUGCACGAAAGCGUGGGGAGCAAACAGG